AUGGCUCAGAUUGAACGCUGGCGGCAGGCCUAACACAUGCAAGUCGAGCGGAUGACGGGAGCUUGCUCCUUGAUUCAGCGGCGGACGGGUG
rnacentral:rRNA from 1 species